rnacentral:rRNA from 1 species
GGCGGCAGGCCUAACACAUGCAAGUCGAGCGCUACCUUCGGGUGGAGCGGCGGACGGGUUAGUAACGCGUGGGAAUAUGCCCUUCUCUACGGAAUAGCCUCGGGAAACUGAGAGUAAUACCGUAUACGCCCUACGGGGGAAAGAUUUAUCGGAGAGGGAUUAGCCCGCGUUGGAUUAGGUAGUUGGUGGGGUAAUGGCCUACCAAGCCUACGAUCCAUAGCUGGUUUGAGAGGAUGAUCAGCAACACUGGGACUGAGACACGGCCCAGACUCCUACGGGAGGCAGCAGUGGGGAAUCUUAGACAAUGGGCGCAAGCCUGAUCUAGCCAUGCCGCGUGAGUGAUGAAGGCCUUAGGGUCGUAAAGCUCUUUCGCUAGGGAAGAUAAUGACGGUACCUAGUAAAGAAGUCCCGGCUAACUCCGUGCCAGCAGCCGCGGUAAUACGGAGGGGACUAGCGUUGUUCGGAAUUACUGGGCGUAAAGCGCGCGUAGGCGGAUUGGAAAGUUGGGGGUGAAAUCCCAGGGCUCAACCCUGGAACUGCCUCCAAAACUAUCAGUCUAGAGUUCGAGAGAGGUGAGUGGAAUUCCGAGUGUAGAGGUGAAAUUCGUAGAUAUUCGGAGGAACACCAGUGGCGAAGGCGGCUCACUAGCUCGAUACUGACGCUGAGGUGCGAAAGUGUGGGGAGCAAACAGGAUUAGAUACCCUGGUAGUCCACACCGUAAACGAUGAAUGCCAGACGUCGGGCAGUAUACUGUUCGGUGUCACACCUAACGGAUUAAGCAUUCCGCCUGGGGAGUACGGUCGCAAGAUUAAAACUCAAAGGAAUUGACGGG